CCUACGGGGAGCAGCAGUGAGGAAUAUUGGUCAAUGGGCGCUAGCCUGAACCAGCCAAGUAGCGUGAAGGAUGACUGCCCUAUGGGUUGUAAACUUCUUUUAUAUUGGAAUAAAGUGCAGUAUGUAUACUGCUUUUCAUGUACCCUAUGAAUAAGCAUCGGCUAACUCCGUGCCAGCAGCCGCGGUAAUACGGAGGAUCCGAGCGUUAUCCGGAUUUAUUGGGUUUAAAGGGAGCGUAGGCGGAGUGUUAAGUCAGUUGUGAAAGUUUGCGGCUCAACCGUAAAAUUGCAGUUGAUACUGGCGUCCUUGAGUACAGAAGAGGUAGGCGGAAUUCGUGGUGUAGCGGUGAAAUGCUUAGAUAUCACGAAGAACUCCGAUUGCGAAGGCAGCUUGCUGGACUGUAACUGACGCUGAUGCUCGAAAGUGUGGGUAUCAAACAGGAUUAGAUACCCUUGUAGUC
rnacentral:rRNA from 1 species